GAUGAACGCUGGCGGCGUGCCUAAUACAUGCAAGUCGAGCGAACGGACGAGAAGCUUGCUUCUCUGAUGUUAGCGGCGGACGGGUGAGUAACACGUGGAUAACCUACCUAUAAGACUGGGAUAACUUCGGGAAACCGUAGCUAAUACCGGAUAAUAUUUUGAACCGCAUGGUUCAAAAGUGAAAGACGGUCUUGCUGUCACUUAUAGAUGGAUCCGCGCUGCAUUAGCUAGUUGGUAAGGUAACGGCUUACCAAGGCAACGAUGCAUAGCCGACCUGAGAGGGUGAUCGGCCACACUGGAGCUGAGACACGGUCCAGACUCCUACGGGAGGCAGCAGUAGGGAAUCUUCCGCAAUGGGCGAAAGCCUGACGGAGCAACGCCGCGUGAGUGAUGAAGGUCUUCGGAUCGUAAAACGCUGUUAUUAGGGAAGAACAUAUGUGUAAGUAACUGUGCACAUCUUGACGGUACCUAAGCAGAAAGCCACGGCUAACUACGU
rnacentral:rRNA from 1 species